GGGGUAGGAAUCAGCGCGUUAAGUGUCGAAGGAACGGAAUGUGAACUUCGAACGAAAGGUGUUCGGCUACGACUUGUCGGAUACUUGCGGUGCUGGUUGCGCAUUCGCUA
rnacentral:ncRNA from 1 species